rnacentral:lncRNA from 10 species
AAAUGAAAAGAAAAAAAUAAACCCCUAAUUUGUUUAAACCAUUGGAUGGUUUGGUUGGCUGUUACUUGCAGCAGCUAAAAGCAAUCCUAAUUGAUAUAGGGGUGAUCCUUCUAAGACUGCCCACAGCACCUAUCUUUCAGAUAUGUUAGUCUCUCUGUCUCUAUUUUCUUUUUCUACUCAUUUUUAAUUCUCCCAUUCCAGAACUAACACUAGACAGCAGCAGUCAUUGAGUUUCUAAGCUUAUUUGGUAACUCUUGAGAAUAAAGAGCUUGGUAACUCUUUAUCAUUUAAUUUAGCCUCAAAUCCUGCCUUUGGGGACAUGUGGCAAUUUUCAGGCACCUUCUCUCUCUGAUACUCUCAAACCGCUGCUUUAUCUCUGGACCAGACAGCUCUGCAAUCUGGAGUCCAUCAGUGUAAUUAUGGGAUUUAAGAGCAUCUCAAGGGAUUAUUAAGUUCAUAUACCUGCCUCCAGGCAGGACUAUGUUUAGCUCUUCCAGACAUAUAGUUGUCUUCAUGUCUCUCACAAAGCAUGACUCACUUGGUAACUUUAAAGGAGUCAGUUUUAUUUGGUCUCAGUUUCUCUGCCACUAAAAUGGGUAUUGUGAUAUACGUAGGGAAAGACAAGGCCUUCUGAUUAAACAUUCUGAAAUCUGAAACGGGAUAGUAUUAAUUUUUUUGGUUGGGUGCUGUGGUUGGUUAAAAUGACCAACUAUUUUGCAGCCCCUCCUUUCAAUAGGUUGAUUCUAUUCUCCUACUCUUUGAAGCUGAGUUGCCUUAUGACUUGCAUUAACCAAUGAAUGUGGUGGAAGUGACGUUGGAGAGUUCUAGACUUAAGCCUCAAGAAGCCUUGCAGCUUCCACCUUCCUUCUCUUAGAAUGUUCCCUUUACCAGCUAAGAAUGCAAAAAAGACCAGCUAGGUUUCUGAACAACAAGAGACCGUGUGAAGAGGGAAAGCUCAGCCAACAGUCAGCACCAAGGUCCUGGACUUGUGAGUGAGCCCAUCUUAGACCCUACAGCUUCACUUGAGCCACCCGAUAAUGGCAGCCAUGUGAAUGUCUACAGGAAGACCAGCAGAAUAACUGUCCAGCUGAGCCCAGCCCAAAUUGCCAACCCACAGAAUUGUGAGAAAUAAUAAUGGCUGUUUUAAGUCACUAAACUUUGGGGUGGUUUGUUAGUUUCCCAGGACUACUGUAACAAACUACCACAAACUGGAUAGCGUAAAACAAAAGAAAUUUAUUUUCUCAGAGUUCUGAAGGCCAGAAAUCUGAACUCAAAGUGCGAGUAGGGCCAUGCUCCCCUGAAAAAUGUUGGGGAGGCAAAAUUCAGCACACAGGAGGUGGUUUGUAAACAGAAAAACAUAAUUAUAAAAGUACUCUUUCCUGUAAUUUUUCAAAUUUAAACAUAUGAAGAUAAAUAUAAAAAUAAUAAAAUUUUAAACAGUACCAUGUUCUGAAAGGUAGUAUGUCAGUGUCAUCAGAGUUUCAAAAUCUCCUGUAAAAAGUAUCUAAAUAGAAUAUUUUACUUAUUGUUAGAAGUCUUAAUGCUGGUGCAAAGAAAAAUUUGUUGCAUAUUAGACAGCACAGGGUCUCUUGAAUAACUUUACCCAUAUGUAAAGUUUUUUUUGGGAAUAAAACACAUCCUUCCUCUGUAAGAUCAGCACAUCCUUUGUUCAGCAUUGUAUGUCAUAUUUGUGUAAAAGUCACAGCCUUGUAGGGGCCUUCUGGUUACCACUUGUCCCAUUUCUCUUCGGCCUCAUCCAGGCUUUUUAAAGGAGUGGCCUCCACCAGCUUCCUCUAUUUCCUCUGCAUGGACUCCCUCUAUAACCUUAUGAAACCUGACUUCCUUCCCCACAGCUCCGCUAAAACUGCUAAUUCAGAGGUUUUCAAUGACCACCUUCAGGGUAAAUCCAAUGGCUCUUUGCCCUCAUAAUUUGGCAUGUGAUCUUUGUAACUACCCUCCUAGCUCUCUUUUCUGAUACUACAACGGUCUGCCAUGUGUUGGCCAAAUCCCCCCUCCUAUCUUUUCGUAUCUCUUCUUUUUGUAUGGAUUGACAGUGACUCUUCCUCUAGGCCCAUUCCUCUUCUCUUCCCCUUAUACUUUCCAUUCAGAAAAUUUAUCCAUUCUUCAGUCCCAAUCUCCACCUCACAGAUGACUUUUUAAUCAACAUUUUCCAUGCUGACCUACCACUGAUGCCCCAAGCCUGUAUUUCAAGCCGCCCAAUAGAAAUGUUCUGUAUUUUAUGUUCAUCUGUGUUAGGGUGGGCUAGGUUAUGGUGAGAUAACAAACAAUUCAAAAAUCUCAGUGGUUUACAAAAACAAAGGCCUUCAGAGGGCAGCUGCAGCUCUGCUUUAAUCAUCUUUACUCCAGGAUGCAGGAUGACAGAUCAUCCACCACCUGGAACGCUGCAGAUUGUUUAGAAUAGGAGAAAGAUAAUGUGACAAAGUCCAGGCUAUCUCUUCACCUCCAAGUGACCACAUCACCUUCAACAGGUGAAAAGUAAAAUCCUCCCAUCGGGAGGGACAGCAAAUAUAUGUAAAGGUACAGUCUACUACAUCGUCUUAAACAAAACCUCUACGAGGGAAGUAAAAAAUCAUCCCCCCAAAACUAAGUCUAAUUUCCAAUUUUCAUAAUUUCUCAUUGGCAUCAUCCUUAUCCCAUUUGACCAGGAUGGAAAUCUUGUGCCAUUUAUUUUAUAAUUGCUUCUUCUUCCAAUUACAAAAGCAUCCUUUGAGGAAAACUUGCAAAAUAUGCAUGCAUACAUACACUCAUACAUGCAUGUCCCAAGUACACAAAAGUCAUCAAUAAUUCUACUACCCAGAGAUAACACUCAUGACAUAUUGGCGUAUGUCCUUCUGGUUCUCUCCUUGUUAUAUGUAUUGAUCAUUUAUCUCUGCAGAGAGUUAUGCAUAUAUUUAUUUUUUAAUUAAAAUGAUACCAUAUUACGCAUAUAGCUUUCUGGCUAUUAAAAACUUAUCAAAAUCAUAUCAAUAUUUUUUCCUUCUUAUGUAAAAAUAUGUUUGGUAUUGACUUGCAAACUUAAAUAUCCAGUCUUGACUUCUCCCCUGAGUUUCAGAUUCCUAAAUAAAACUGCAUAGUAGCUAAUUCUACUUGAAUGUCUAACAUGCAUCUUAGACUCCAUAUGUCCCCAGUUAAACCCUUGAUUCACCCUAAAAGCCUGCUUCUCCUCCAGUCUUUUCAAUCUCUGUUAAAAGCAUCAAUAUCCAACCCUGGAGACAUCUUGAUUUCUCUUUUUUUUUGUUUUUCAUUGCCCCACCCCAUAUCUAAUUCGUCAGCCCUAGCUCCAGAAUGUUAUCCCAGAGCUGCCUGGUUCUCUCCUUCUCAGCUCUGCUCUCUAGUUUUGCCAUCGUCAUCUUUCCCCUGGAUUCUCCACUGCCUCCCAGCUGGUUUCCUUGCUUCUUUGUACAAUAGAUCUUUUAAACACAAAAGUCAAUCGCAUCAUGCCCUGCUCCAUAAACCAUCCCAUUUGAUAUGGUUUGGCUUUGUCUCCACCCAAAUCUCAUCUUGAAUUGUAGCUCCCAUAAUCCCCACAUGUUGUGCGAGAUAAUUGAAUCAUGGAGGCAGGUUUUUCCUCAUGCUAUUCUCAUGAUAGUGAAUAAGUCUCACGAGAUCUGAUGGUUUUAUAAAGGGCAAUUCCCCUGCACACGCUCUCUUGCCUGCCGCCGUUUAAGAUAUGCCUUUGCUCCUCAUUCACCUUCUGCCAUGAUUGUGAGGCCUCCCCAGCCAUGUGGAACUGUAAGUCCAUUAAACCUUUUUUUCUUUAUAAAUUAUCCAGUCUUGGGUAUUUCUUCAUAGCAGUAUGAAAAUGGACUAAUACACCAUUGCACUUUGAAUAACAUUUAAAUUUUUUCCAUUGCCUUUAAGGCUUUUAUGUGAUUCGUUCUUUGCUAACUUCCCUCUUCAGCUCUCCUCCUCUCCCCUCAUUCACUCCACUAGAGACAGACCAGUUCUUGCUUUUCUUCCAACACAUCAAAUUUACUCCUGCCUCAGUCAUGUGCUUCGUCAUUCCCCUGCUUGAUCUUGGCUCAGAGGUUUUUCUCUAAGAGAUGCUUUCCUUGACCAUCCCAUCUAAAGAAUCCAUGCCCUCUCAAUGGCCCGUUUACAUUCUCUGUAUCACACUUAUUUUAUCUGAUGUUUCCUUGUUUAUUUAGUGGUUUAUUUCUUCAUUGUCUCCCCACUGGUAUAUUACUUUUUUUAGAAUAAGAACCCUGUCUAUCUUAUUCAUGACUCUAUCCUCAGCACUUAGAAUAGUGCUAGGCACAUAGUAGGCUAUAAGCAAUAUGCAUGAAAUGAAUGAAUGAAUAAGUAUGUAGUUGCUUCCCACAUCCAGCUGAUUCCUUUAAACUGUCUGCAGAAGCAGGCCCUUUUUUUCCAUUCUGAUGACCCAGUCUAAUCCCAGAUCUCACUACCUCACAUCGGAAUGACUGUGGCUCCCUCCUCACUCCUCCCCUGGAAUCCCUUCCAAUGCCUUCUGCACACUGCUAACUAUUCUUCCCACCAGGUUUGUUUCAUCUGUGAGUCACCUCCCUUCAGGGCCCAGCUGAGACUCAUCUCCUCAGAGGUGUUGCCCUUCUGUAGCCAGGGCUACAGGCUUCUCUCUCUCUGAGUUUUUGUCCUUACCCCUCCCCAGCCACACAAUCAAACACUGUUCCCCAUGCUCUCUAACUUUUGCAUUUAUAGUCACCCACUCACCCCAGCUGGAUUCUGAGGGCAUAGGCUGCUUGUCUGUUUGUGUUUUGAAUCUCCCGUAAUACCUAGAGGAAGUCAUAGGCAAUAAAAUAUCUUGUUGAUUUGAGUGAAAUUAUUGGACAGAGAAUAAGGUACAGGAGGUAAAUUGGAUACCCCAUCUAAGGGGAUCUGUGAGACCAGGUAGUUAUUUGGAAUGAAAGAGUAAGAUAUUAAACCAGCCAGCAUGUCAACAGGUGGGUGAUAGUCUUGUUCUCACAGACAACAGAUGGCCAUCAUCUUAAAACAACAUUUAUGUUAACCAGCAGAUAAGGGACUCCUGCAUUGUCAGUGGACUUUGAGCCUGAGUUUUUCUACUUGCAUAGGUGAAAGUGGACUGCAAUGCUAGUAUAAAUGCCGUAUGAUGACUAGUACCCCUUAGGGAGCUCCAGUUUGUCUUCCUGGGGAACCACAGACCCCAAGUGUAAUUUCCUGAGGACAGCCCAACUUCUCUAGAGUGCUCAUAUUACACAGCAGAAAGCUGAGUAGAGAGAACUCAAAAAGGUCUGCCAAAGAAGGUUUUGGCUGUGUCCUGAAUAUUGCUCUGUAUGGCAGUGAGAAGAAGCAGCGAUUUAGGAAAAAGUAUUUCUACCCGUGGCAGCAGAGGGACUGGGCCUCCCUGAGCAAACGAGAGAGUCAAGCUUGACCAUUCAGCCAUACGAAGGCCAAAAUAUCCACUUCAAGACUUCUGAGCAAAUAUCACAUCUUCUUUUUGCUAAUGUGCAUACUCUCCUUAAUUGAGUCUCCAAGCAAUGAGGUAGAAUUUUUAUUCUGUGUUUUAAAACCAUGUAUUUAAAAAUUAACAUGUUAUCGACUCAACUGCUUAUCUUGGGUCAAAUGCAAAUCGUGGGUAUAUUCAUCGGGGGAGAAAAAUCUUUUUGAAAAAUUUCCUGGUGAUUUCAGGAAAUGAGUAAGUGGUUAUAAUAUUAAGGAGUAAUUGAAAAACACUGUCAGAAUGAACAGUUCUAAAUAACCGUUGUUCUUUAUAGUUUCCUGUAUGCAGUACCAUGCAAUUUAUUCUGAUAAAGCUGUCUUUCUGAACUCACUUUUGGAACUCCUCUUUGCAAUUACUUUCAGAACUAUUUGACAAGGUACCUAAAAAUCAGCUCCGUUAUUUCACGGCUAUAUGUUAUCUUUAACUCAAGCUGAUAUUAUUUUAUUUAAUAGGCUUGCUUGAGUGCUAAUGACUUUGGAUCCCUCCAGAAGCUAUACCAUAUAUUGUUUAUGGAUAUGCAUAUACACACACACCCCAGAAGUACACCUUUGUGUUAGUACUCUCAGGGAGCAGCAGGGAGAACAGAAAUGGGCAACAGAAUAACAGGGACUUCACAUUUAUCUGUAAUGUUCUCUUUUUUAAUUAAAAAAAAAACAACUAAAGCAAAAGUGACAAAAUGUUAACAGAUGUUAAUUCUGUUAAGUGGAGACCUUUAGAUACUUGCCAUAUUAUCAUCUGUAUUUUCUAUAUUUUUUGAAACUUCUCAAAUAAUAAAGCAGAUUCUCCCUAAAAAAAAAAAAAGAUUUUAAAACACCAAGUUUCUUUUUAAAAAUAAAUGUACUCCAGUCCCUGAGAAUAAUUCUAAAAGGAUUUCCAAAAAUGUUUUUGGAUAAUGCUAUUAUCCCUAGUGGCAUGACCCCAGAGAGGAAUACUUUGAAGUCACGGAGGGCUAUGAGGCCAGGGAAAGUGCCUUUCUUUUUCCAGCUCUCAAUUUUGAGUAAAUCUCCUCACUCCUUGCAGGCAGGCCCAUGACUCACUUGUCUUUGUAUUUCUGGGGCUUAGCACAGCACUUAGAACACAAUAAUCCUCAAUGGCUGGCAUGAGUGAACAAAUGAAUGAACUAACCAGCCUAGGACUUACAAGCCUACUAACUUACGAAGAGAUGGGAGUGAGGCGGUGGAGUUUAUUAACUUCUGUUUUUCUUAAUUUAGUUCCAGUUUAGCUAUUUGUAUUUUUGGUCUCUAUCACAGAAGAACAAUGAAUUUUGCCCUUUGAUGAGAAUGACAGAAGUCGAAGUUUUUUGAGGUUUCUGAGCAGAGUGGUACUAACUACUGUUUCCUUUUAGCCCCAGAAACCAAUUCUAGAGGAAAAGGAACAUUAAAAAAAAAGUAUGAAAGAGGUCCAUACUCUCUAUUCUCUCAUCCAAGUGAAAACACAUACAAUGAGUUAUGUAAUCUGGACUCUUAUUUUGCGAUAGAAAGGGAUUCUGAUUUUCCAUUUGCUAUUUUAUUUAAAAGGGCUAUGGCUUAGGCACCCAAAGGAGGAGGUAGAUUGGAUUACAUUGUUAAGCAAAGUAAAAAGCACAGUUUAAAGUCUGGCAACUAGAGCUUACAACAAAAUUAAGAAAUAACUAAGUUGUUUGAACAAUCUACCUUUAUCAUUAAUCCACCUAUUAAAGGAACAGAAGCAGAAAGUGAAAAAGGAUAGAAGUUCUCACCAUUUAUGGUUGCAUGUAAGGCAAAGAAAAAAGGAGAAAUGCAUGACUAUUUUAAUCCCUAAAGAAUGACUUCAGAGUUCACUCUCUGACCUAGGAGAGAAGCUAAACAGGAAGAGGUUACAGGCAUUUAAGAGAAGAGGUCAACACUGGCAAAUAAAGAUUUAAAAGAAUGAUAAAACUCGGUGGGGGUGUGAAUGUGGGGAAAGGAGCAUUCGUAGGGCCACUGGUAGGAGCAGAAACAGGUAUACCUUUUCUGGGCGUCAAUUUGGCAAUCAAAAGCUUGAAAAAUGUUUCUUUCCUAUGACCAAUUAUACUGUUAGAAAUUUGUAAGGAGGUGUUUGCACUAGCGCAGAAAAAAGUAUGUAUAAGACUGCUCCAUCAAACUCUAUACACUAUUGUGAAAAGUCAGAACCUAUCUCUUUUGGUUUUUUGUGUUUUUUUUUUGAGACAGGGUUUCACUCUGUGGCCCAGGCUGGAGAGUAGUGGCGCAAUCAUAGCUCACUGCAGCCUCAAACUCCUGGUCUCAAGUGACCCUCCCACCUCAGCCUUCUAUGUAGCUGGGACCACAGGCAUGCACCACCCUGUCUGCCUAAUGUUUUGUUUGCUUUUUGUAGAGCUGGUGUCUCACUAUGUUGCUCAGGCUGGUCUUGAACUCCUGGGCUCAACUGAUUCUCCUGUGUCUGCCUCCCAAAGCACCGGGAGGCAGGUUCCAGGCAUGAGCCACUGUGCCCAGCCUGGAACCUAUCUUCAUGCCCAAUAAUAGAAAAUUAAUUUAAUAAAUCAUUUUACAUCUAAUCAACAGGAUUUUAUACAGCCUAUGUAAAUUAUAAUGCAGCUCUGUAUUGAUUUACAUGCAGAGUUGUUCAUGAUUUUUUUUUUUUUAAUGAGACAGAGUCUCACUCUGUC